UACGGAGGGUGCGAGCGUUAAUCGAAAUUACUGGGCGUAAAGCGUACGCAGGCGGUUGACUAAGCCAGAUGUGAAAGCCCCGGGCUCAACCUGGGAACGGCAUUUGGAACUGGUCAGCUAGAGUCUUGUAGAGGGAGGUAGAAUUUCCGGUGUAGCGGUGAAAUGCGUAGAGAUCGGAAGGAAUACCAGUGGCGAAGGCGGCCUCCUGGACAGAGACUAACGCUGAGGUACGAAAGCGUGGGGAGCAAACAGG
rnacentral:rRNA from 1 species